rnacentral:rRNA from 1 species
AUACGUAGGGGACAAGCGUUAUCCGGAUUUACUGGGUGUAAAGGGAGCGUAGGCGGCCAGCCAAGUCAGAAGUGAAAUCCCACGGCUCAACUGUGGGCGUGCUUUUGAAACUGGAGGGCUUGAGUACUGGAGGGGCAAGCGGAAUUCCUGGUGUAGCGGUGAAAUGCAUAGAUAUCAGGAAGAACACCGGAGGCGAAGGCGGCUUGCUGGACAGAGACUGACGCUGAGGCUCGAAGGCGUGGGGAGCAAACAGGAUUAGAUACCCUGGUAGUCCACGCGGUAAACGAUGAAUGCUAGGUAUUGGGUUCCGUAGGGACUCGGUGCCGCAGUUAACGCAAUAAGCAUUCCACCUGGGGAGUACGUUCGCAAGAAUGAAACUCAAAGGAAUUGACGGGG